GUCGGACGCAGUGGCGUGUGCCUAUAGUCCCAGCUACUCUGGAGGCUGAGGUGGGAGGAUCACUUGAGCCCAGGAGUUCUGGGCCGUAAUGCGCUAUGCCAAUCGGGUGUCCGCACUAAGUUCAGCAUCAAUAUGGCAACCUCCCAGGAGCAGGGGACCACCAGGUUGCCUAAGGAAGGGUGAACCGGCCCAGGUCAGAAAUGGAGCAGGUCAAAACUCCUGUGCUGAUCAGUAGUGGGAUAGCGCCUGUGAAUAGCCACUGCACUUCAGCCUGGGCAACAUAGCAAGACCCCGUCUCUA
rfam:Callithrix jacchus chromosome 12, whole genome shotgun sequence